rnacentral:rRNA from 1 species
GAGUUUGAUCUUGGCUCAGAUUGAACGCUGGCGGCAUGCCUUACACAUGCAAGUCGAACGGCAGCACGGGAGCUUGCUCCUGGUGGCGAGUGGCGAACGGGUGAGUAAUGCAUCGGAACGUAUCCUGGAGUGGGGGAUAACGUAGCGAAAGUUACGCUAAUACCGCAUAUUCUGUGAGCAGGAAAGCGGGGGACCUUCGGGCCUCGCGCUCUUGGAGCGGCCGAUGUCGGAUUAGCUAGUUGGUGAGGUAAAGGCUCACCAAGGCGACGAUCCGUAGCAGGUCUGAGAGGAUGAUCUGCCACACUGGAACUGAGACACGGUCCAGACUCCUACGGGAGGCAGCAGUGGGGAAUUUUGGACAAUGGGGGCAACCCUGAUCCAGCCAUGUCGCGUGAGUGAAGAAGGCC